CUUCAGCUAAAAGAGGAGUUUGGAGGAGGUGGGGCGGAGGGAGCGCUCGGAGCACACUUUGAGCUCGGUCUUGAGCUCGGAGGCUUUUGGAGGCAGCAUGUUCGUACGCUGUGACCUGAGCUGUCUCUCCGCUGCACUUUGUGACUUUUGGAUCUCGUCAGUUAAAGCCUGCAGAGGCUUUUUUUUUUUUUAUUGCUACCCACUUUCUUUCUUUUUUCUUUUUUCUUCUUCUCCUUUUUACAGCCUUCACUCUAAGUCGUGUGAGUAUAAGAAUAAUUUCUGCUCGACUGGCAUUUCAGAGAUGGAGGAACAACAGUGAUCUCGUGAUGAAGUUGAAGAUGAGGAUCCCGAGAGAAAAAGGAACAGAGGGGUGAGAGAGGAGGGGGAGGUGGGAGGAGGCAGAGAGGGCUAACUCAUACAGGAAGGAAGUAAAGGAAAUGUCUCGAUGGGAAAACAAGUAGCGAUGUAAUUGUGAACCCUGAGCUCAUUUACUGUCUGGGUGGUCAUGAAAGGAAAUUGUAUGUGUAUCUACACGCAAACAAGCAGCCGGUCAUGUGCUCGGGGAAAAAAUGACUCUUGUGAACGGUGCGUGAUCACAUACUGUGAACAUUGUUGUUUUUAAAUGCUCCCAGACUGUACUGUUUGGGUGGAAUCAUACCGAGAUUCCCAGUUAUAUAUUAACAAGCAACAACUUUAUUCAAUCACUGGCCAAAUAAAGAAUACUAUACAGCCCAAUCUAACUCAUCUUCAAUACAAAGCGAAAGAAGUAGCUAUUGGACAUUGGAAAACAUAAGUUUGGCAAAGUACUCAAUUUAUAUUUAUUAUAUAAAGCAAAUCUGACCCCGUGUACCUCACACUGUGACCAUUAAACAUACUCCAACAAGGUCACUAGGAUUAUCACAGGGCAUAUAACCAAUAACCCCAAAUUUACCAAUUUUUAUUGAGUUGCCGAUUGGCAGUGUAAAAUAUAUAACAAUACUAUGAUAUGUGGCGUCAUGAGAAAGAGUGAAAUAAAAGUACAAGGAAGAGUUUAUAAUGACGAAGAAAUACAUUUAAUAAAAGAUGAAAACUGAAAAACUCAGAGCAUCGGCGUCAAACGUCUUAAUUUGGAAAGAAGAAACUUUUUAAGGUAGUGGAAGAUCAGCCUAUCACGUGAUUGUUUCGUCCGCAUGUUAAUUCACGACACUUUGUUGCUAGCAGACAAAAAUUAUCAGUGUUUAUUUCUCUUUUGAGUCUCGAGUAGGUAAAGUUGAGGGACAUUUGUAUUCAGUGUACGUGUUGUUUGCUUCCCCGUGUGGUGACUACAGGGUGGUGCAGGUGCCUGGGCUCAACCUCCUGUGCCUACUGAGCUGAUUACAGUUAGAUGUUCAACAAGCACUGGCUCAGUUCAGCAGGAACCGGAGUUAGGCCCUUUAGAAACAGCGGCGGGUUGGUGCUCAACCUGAAGUCACCCUGCUCCAUUCAUACUGUUGUGCGUUUUGUCCCACACUGAAGUUAUCAUUCUUUCUUUACUGCCCCGAAAAAGAAGUAACAGCCAGUGAGUAAUGAUUAUUAAUCAGAGCUGAGGAAGCACAGGGGUCAAAUACAUGUAGCCACACAACCUCUCAGAAUUUGUACUUUAAAGCUCCUGAUGGAGGAAAUCUGCUUCUGUUGGUUUGGUAUUACUGAAAGAUCACAGGAGCAGAGUUUUUCCAGUUGCAUUCUUCACAUGCUACUGACCAACGGUACUGGAGCCGCAUUUCCGUUUAAAUGAUUUACAUAAGUCAUUGAAGUUGUUCUUUUAUUUGUGUUUGUAAGUGAUUCGCCCUCCAGAGUUGAGGAGAGAGCUAACUGUUAUAUUUGUUUGUGGGGUGAAGUUGUUGUUCCAGUUUCAGCGUCAACGGAUGAUGGGGAUCUGCUUUGUAAAGAUAAAACUCGAUGGCCUCAAGCCACUGCAUCAUGUGUUUGUACUUUGUGUAAUUUUUUGCAAUAAAAUUCUCAGCACCAGUGAA